UACGUAGGGUGCGAGCGUUGUCCGGAAUUAUUGGGCGUAAAGAGCUUGUAGGUGGUUUGUCGCGUCUGCUGUGAAAAUCCGAGGCUCAACCUCGGACUUGCAGUGGGUACGGGCAGACUAGAGUGUGGUAGGGGAGACUGGAAUUCCCGGUGUAGCGGUGAAAUGCGCAGAUAUCAGGAGGAACACCGGUGGCGAAGGCGGGUCUCUGGGCCGAUGACUGACGCUGAGGAGCGAAAGCGUGGGGAGCGAACAGG
rnacentral:rRNA from 1 species